UUAUAGCUCAGUCGGUAGAGCAUGAGACUCUGAAUCUGUGGGUAGUGGGUUUGAGCCCCACGUUGGGCAAAA